rnacentral:lncRNA from 1 species
AAGAAAAUAGAAAAAGCAACAGGUUCAAAGAUCAUUUUUAAUAGAAGAAAUACACUCUUAAACAUUCUAAGAAAUGAUAAGGAUAAGUACGACCACACCUCCCUCCCAGGAGUUUGAGAUCCCAGCAUUUGACAAUAUUUUGAAUCAAAAUAUAAAAUAUAUAGGUUGCACGGCCGGAUCACUAAACGGGAGGAUUGGGGAGCGCAGAGGGGACGUUGAGAGCUCCACGUCCACAACAGCAUUAGUGAGGAGCUUUCGUCACCGAUCUGGCAGUGAAGUGGGGAGAAGCUGAGCUUUUGCGCAUAGAGGAGGACCCCAAAGGGGGAAGGGUGGCGGAGGCAGUGGAGAUCGGAAGAGC